rnacentral:rRNA from 1 species
GACAGAGGGUGCAAACGUUGUUCGGAAUUACUGGGCGUAAAGCGCGUGUAGGCUGCUCGGAAAGUCGGAUGUGAAAGCCCGGGGCUCAACCCCGGAGGGUCGGCUGAUACUGCUAGGCUAGAGUACGGAAGAGGUAGCUGGAAUUCCUGGUGUAGCGGUGAAAUGCGCAGAUAUCAGGAAGAACACCAAUGGCGAAGGCAGCUCUCUGGGACGGUACUGACACUGAGACGCGAAAGCGUGGGGAGCGAACAGG